rnacentral:lncRNA from 1 species
AUGUGUACGUUUCCAAAAAAAAGUCAGUGCCGGUUGCUGGAUAUGUGUCUGAAGCCUUCCAAGCAUGAAUCACCUUUCAUGCGGAACAAAGAAACUGUUGCACUUCAGACAGCCACCCCGCUGAAUUAUUUAAUGCAACUAAAUACCUGCAGAGCUCCGCCGCGUUACGUAAACCUGCAAAACUGGCUCAAUUCCUUGCCUCGAAUCAAUGUCAUGCUCUCUUUCUGUAAGCUACUUCAUGGCAUCAAACGAGUGACUUGGAGCAAUUCUGGAGAUGUUUGGAGAAGGAACAGAAAACACAGGGUCAGCUAGUCAAAAAUGGAUUACCCAGGCAUGAAACAUGACCAGCCUGGCUUUGUGUAUCCUUGAAUUUGCUCUACAGCUAUCUCCUCCAACAUUCAUCUGGAAGUGCAUCAACUCACAGACUGCUUCCCAUGAUAAACACACUGUAUGUUACCCACAUUUAAACUAGCAUGUUGUCCUAAUGAAUCUCUCAGACAAUUCACUGAUUCCCCAAGUGCAAAACUACUUUACCAUUUUUCUCACUCUUUCAGAUUUUUUACAGUAGCAUAGGAAAAAGUGGAGUAUGGUGCUUCCUUGGGAAAACAGGCCAAUAUUCAUCCUCUGCAAAUCUGAGCUAAGAUAUCCUUUCCAAAAACCUCUCUGAUUUAAGAUGGUGGUUUCAAGCCAUCUCACAUAUUGUAUGUAUCACUCCUCAGUUUUUAUUAGUGACUUUUUUUUUAUACCAUUAAAACACAGAUAGAUUUUCCUAGACAGGUAAAUAGGCAUUAGAAAAGAAAGAGUGAAUAUGAUUGUAGAAAUGGCCCGCAAAAUCCAUGCCUUACAUUGCCUUUGUAAUGUUUUCAGAUGAAACUUUGAUGACAAGAGUAGACGGUGGCUUACGAAAUGUAGUGGGUACCUAGGAAGUUCUGGAAUAACACAUUGGCCCAUUGACCCCUAAAAUUUUUGAACCACUGAUUUAAAUCCACUGCCUGUGAACAUUAACACCACAUACUGAAGAAUAUGGGUACUGAUGCUACCUGUGCAAGUAUCAGCAGUGCAGGCUUGUUCUGUUGUUCAAGAGAAUAAGAGGAAAAAGCCAUUUAUCGUCUUGUAUCUUGCUUGGUUUCCAUGUUAGUACCACCUGCAUGUUUGCAGAGGAGGGAGAAUUAUAGCAGAAUGGUACAAUUUAGGAAGAAUUCUGCUGAAAAACCUUACAGAUUCAAGAGAGAUUCAGAUGAUGCUUGUAAAAUAAAGGGAGUCAGUAGUGAAUUACUGUUGAUACAAAGAACUAGACUUGAUUUAAAGUUAUUGAAGCAUGAACUGGGGUCAUGUUACUCACUUUAAUAGAGCUGCUGCAAAUUUAUAUUGACGUACAUGAAUUCAGAAUCAAUUCCCUCAUGCAUAGUAUUUUAUGGUAAAACUCAGAUUUCAAACUGAACAGCAGGCAUGCUGCCAUAUCAGCAGGAGCUUUAAUUAUCGUAAUUAAAGAAAAUCCACAUAUCUGAAAGAUAGGUUGCACUUUCAAGCAUUCUAGAGAGAACAUUAAUGUUCUGAUAAAAUCUUUAAUUUCAUUUACUUACCUUUCUCAACAUAUUUAUUUAUUUUUUUUAUUAUUCCAUAUAGUUUAUAAUCUUUUUAUAGCGUGUACGUGAGAGCCAUUUCAGGGCAUUUCAAUAUAGGCUACGACCAUCUUCUCUUCCAAAGACUGCAACAGAUGCCUUGCAAAAAUCACUCAUGUAUUCAAGUGUGGUGACCAGUUCUUAUCUGAAAACUCAUAGUUUCAGUAAAAGUUAUCAGUCCAAAAUGCUUAUACUCCUGGCAUACCAAAGCUGAUAUCCAGGGGUGUGUUGAUGUAUUGUACUUCUGAUCUGGCCGUCUCCCUUUCCAUUGCUGCUGCUUACAUUCUGCCACACACCACGGCAAUGUCCGGGCUGCCUCAUUUCUCUGGUCUCCCUGAGAAAACCAAAGACAACGCGCAACUCUGAGUGUCCUGCUGGCUCUGUGUGGUGCCUGCUGAUGGGGAAAGCUGGUCGGCAACCCUGAGCCUUGGAGGUACCGAUGGGCACGAGCUUUGUGGCGUGGCAGAGCAGCAACCAGCACGGUGGAGGGACACGUAGGCAUGGUUAUUACUUCAGCAGGAUCUGCAAGGCAGAUAAAGCAGCGCUCUCUCUGCUUUCUGGUAAACAGGAAGCUCUGGUGGAGAGGUAGCGAAGACUUCUCUGCCUUCGGGGCCGCAGGAAGCGCAGGGGCUUCACGCAGACGUUUGGGAGUCUGCACCCAGAGCAGGGCACCCUCCUCCUCCUCGUGCCCUGCGCCGCUGCUGCCCUUCCCUGGGCGCAAACCCCCGGGUGUCUGCGUGAAGCGGUCGCCUCGAGUACAGGUAGGCUGCGGCAGGCGAGGCCGGGUGCCUGAA